AUUCCCUAUGAUGGUAUUAACCAUGCUAAUACUGAUUGUCUUGUGACUGAAUCAAUGUUAUUGUCUGAGGGAAUC
rnacentral:snoRNA from 1 species